rnacentral:rRNA from 1 species
AAAGCGCGCGUAGGUGGUUUGUUAAGUUGGAUGUGAAAUCCCCGGGCUCAACCUGGGAACUGCAUUCAAAACUGACUGACUAGAGUAUGGUAGAGGGUGGUGGAAUUUCCUGUGUAGCGGUGAAAUGCGUAGAUAUAGGAAGGAACACCAGUGGCGAAGGCGACCACCUGGACUGAUACUGACACUGAGGUGCGAAAGCGUGGGGAGCAAACAGGAUUAGAUACCCGUGU